rnacentral:rRNA from 1 species
UACGAAGGGGGCUAGCGUUGUUCGGAUUUACUGGGCGUAAAGCGCACGUAGGCGGAUUGUUAAGUCAGGGGUGAAAUCCUGGAGCUCAACUCCAGAACUGCCUUUGAUACUGGCAAUCUUGAGUCCGGAAGAGGUGAGUGGAACUCCUAGUGUAGAGGUGGAAUUCGUAGAUAUUAGGAAGAACACCAGUGGCGAAGGCGGCUCACUGGUCCGGUACUGACGCUGAGGUGCGAAAGCGUGGGGGGCAAACAGG